ensembl:rRNA 5S_rRNA 5S ribosomal RNA
GUCUAUGGCUAUACAACCCUGAAUGCACCCGAUCUCGUCUGAUCUUGGAAGCUAAGCAGGGUCAGGCCUGGUUAGUACUUGGAUGGGAGAUGGCCUGGGAAUAUUGGGUGCUUUAGGCA